AAAUACAAGUAUGCAUUCAUAUGCUUGUGCUAUUUUCAAUAAUAAACUUUCAUAAAGCAACAUUUAUAAAAUAAAAUACAAGAUAUAUUUUAUCUUGCCAUCGGGCUCGUAGCUCAGCGGUAGAGUGCCCGACUUGCACUCGGGAGGCCCCGAGUCCGAAUCUCGGCGAGUCCAUUGUGAUUUUAUAAUUUAUGACAUUUUAUAUUUUCAGGUAAUUUUGUAUGUUUAUAACUUACUAACUUUUAUAUUUAAUUUUUUUAUGUUCACAUUUUUACAUUUACGUGCAAUCCUCAAAAUUAUUUUAUGUUUGAGGAUGAAGGGUUGAUAAUAAUAUGAAACCAUACAUAAACAACUCGUCAUAAGGGGACAAUACGC
rnacentral:tRNA from 1 species